rnacentral:rRNA from 1 species
CAGCAGCCGCGGUAAUACGUAGGUGGCAAGCGUUGUCCGGAAUUAUUGGGCAUAAAGGGCUCGCAGGCAGUUUCUUAAGUCUGAUGUGAAAGCCCCCGGCUCAACCGGGGAGGGUCACUGGAAACUGGGAAACUUGAGUGCAGAAGAGGAGAGUGGAAUUCCACGUGUAGCGGUGAAAUGCGUAGAGAUGUGGAGGAACACCAGUGGCGAAGGCGACUCUCUGGUCUGUAACUGACGCUGAGGAGCGAAAGCGUGGGGAGCGAACAGGAUUAGAUACCCCGGUAGUCCCUGUCUCUUAUCC